rnacentral:rRNA from 1 species
AUUGAACGCUGGCGGCAGGCUUAACACAUGCAAGUCGAGCGGAGAUGAGGUGCUUGCACCUUAUCUUAGCGGCGGACGGGUGAGUAAUGCUUGGGAAUCUGCCUAUUAGUGGGGGACAACAUUCCGAAAGGAAUGCUAAUACCGCAUACGUCCUACGGGAGAAAGCAGGGGAUCCUCGGACCUUGCGCUAAUAGAUGAGCCUAAGUCGGAUUAGCUAGUUGGUGGGGUAAAGGCCUACCAAGGCGACGAUCUGUAGCGGGUCUGAGAGGAUGAUCCGCCACACUGGGACUGAGACACGGCCCAGACUCCUACGGGAGGCAGCAGUGGGGAAUUUUGGACAAUGGGGGGAACCCUGAUCCAGCCAUGCCGCGUGUGUGAAGAAGGCCUUAUGGUUGUAAAGCACUUUAAGCGAGGAGGAGGCUACUGAGACUAAUACUCUUGGAUAGUGGACGUUACUCGCAGAAUAAGCACCGGCUAACUCUGUGCCAGCAGCCGCGGUAA